AAUGAACGCUGGCGGCAUGCCUAACACAUGCAAGUCGAACGAAGGCUUCGGCCUUAGUGGCGCACGGGUGCGUAACGCGUGGGAAUCUGCCCCUUGGUUCGGAAUAACAGUUAGAAAUGACUGCUAAUACCGGAUGAUGACGUAAGUCCAAAGAUUUAUCGCCGAGGGAUGAGCCCGCGUAGGGUUAGCUAGUUGGUGUGGUAAGAGCGCACCAAGGCGACGAUCCUUAGCUGGUCUGAGAGGAUGAUCAGCCACACUGGGACUGAGACACGGCCCAGACUCCUACGGGAGGCAGCAGUGGGGAAUAUUGGACAAUGGGCGAAAGCCUGAUCCAGCAAUGCCGCGUGAGUGAUGAAGGCCUUAGGGUUGUAAAGCUCUUUUACCCGGGAUGAUAAUGACAGUACCGGGAGAAUAAGCUCCGGCUAACUCCGUG
rnacentral:rRNA from 1 species